ACAAAAACGAUGAAAAGAAGAGUACCUAGACAUACCUUUCUUAGAGAGUUCCGCUUGGUGAAAAGGAACAAAGGCAAAGCUAGUGAAGAUGGUCUUGGAGUUGUAUACAUGAGCGUAAGUGAAUGUAUAUCGGGUUCGCCCGUUAAAGCGAUAGUGUUUGUUAGAACAUGAAGAGGUACAGCUUGUGAGAGUUGUACGAAUAUAGGUGGUACCACGAAUCUUUCGUCCUAUGG
rnacentral:ncRNA from 1 species